rnacentral:rRNA from 1 species
GACGAACGCUGGAGGCGUGCUUAACACAUGCAAGUCGAACGGUAAGGCCCUUCGGGGUACACGAGUGGCGAACGGGUGAGUAACACGUGGGUGAUCUGCCCUGCACUUCGGGAUAAGCCUGGGAAACUGGGUCUAAUACCGGAUAGGACCACUGCCUGCAUGGGUGGUGGUGGAAAGCUUUUGCGGUGUGGGAUGGGCCCGCGGCCUAUCAGCUUGUUGGUGGGGUGAUGGCCUACCAAGGCGACGACGGGUAGCCGGCCUGAGAGGGUGACCGGCCACAAUGGGACUGGGAUACGGCCCAGACUCCUACGGGAGGCAGCAGUGGGGAAUAUUGCACAAUGGGCGCAAGCCUGAUGCAGCGACGCCGCGUGAGGGAUGACGGCCUUCGGGUUGUAAACCUCUUUCAGCACCGACGAAGCGCAAGUGACGGUAGGUGCAGAAGAAGGACCGGCCAACUACGUGCCAGCCGCCGCCGUAA